UCCGCCGAAGGGGCUGGCCCUGGAAGUCAGCUCCUGUGCUUGUGACAGAUGAUAUUUUUAUGCGAGAAAACAAAACCAGGAUAUCUGAUGGACUGUGUUAUCUUUACAGACAGCUUGGAGCUACAGAUGCAAGGCAAGAAGUUUUAUGCUUGAACUUCAAAACUGAGCUGAAAGGAUUCAGAUGUUUUGUAUGAGAAUCCAAGCAUUAAUAAUGACUGUGUGAUCAUAGUUUUGGAAAACUAAGAAUACAUUUCCUGGCUACACUUGCAGAUUUAUGUUUCUUAAGAAAAGCAAAAAUGAAGUAAUUUUGAUCUCUGAUGGAUGAAACCCAUUGGAAUGGAAACUAACAUCUAUGAAGAAGAACAGGGGUCACCUUAUCUUACAUCUGCAGAGUGCCUGGGAACUCCAAAGGAAGCCAAGUAUGAAGAACACCAAAGAAAGAUAGAAAAUCAGACAAGUCCAUAUGAAUUUCAGAAUGCAUUACUGGAAUCUGAGCUGAGCUUGCUGUCUGUGUCAUCCUUAUUGGACCACAAUGAGACAUCCUUACAACUUGGCAUGGCUGCAGGCAGUGCCACUGCCACCAACCAGCCCCAGACAAAGCAGCUUUAUGAAGAUUUAUCCUGUUCUACAAUGCACACGUCAAAGGAACACUCUUUAAACCUUCCCAUGCACACAGAAUGGCCAGUCCUCACAGGAAAAAAUUCAGACAAGAAACCAGAAGCAAAUUAUGAGAUCAGAGUCAUAAAACACAAAUCAUGUGCUAUCACAUUUUCUGAUUUCGAGUUUUCAUCACAUGAAGCUGACACCAAGCUCCAUAUUUGUGAGGCAGGAGAAGCAGAUGAUUUUUAUUCUGAAGAGGAAGAAGCAGAUAACAGAGGUGAUGAUGAUACACUUAAAGAACUGCCACUCUAUGAGGCAUUUUUCAAAGGUCUUCAAAGAAGGAGUGUUUCUCAAAGAAAGCAAGCUAAACAUGAACUUACUAAAUAUCAGCAUAUCUGUCAUUUAGAAGACUUCAAUAAUCAUUCCAAAAAGGCAUUGAAGGACCAUGACAAGGAAGAAAAACACAUGGAGCUGGAGACCCAACCAGAAAAAGAAUCUGAAUGGCCAGACUCUAUGUCGUGGCUUAUGAAGAAAUUGGAAAAGUUGAACUUAGAUAUUGAAGAAGCUCUGAGUGCUGGAUCUUCUCCCUCCAGUACUCCUUCCUCUAAAAGGCACAAGCAACUGAAGAAGCCAAAAUAUGUGCUAACGAAAACCGACUGAAUAAAUAAAUAUUAUGGGACCUACUGGUGAGAGUAGGGAGUCUUGCAGUAUUUUGGUGAGCAAAUUCAAGUCCCCUGUUCAAGUAGAGACAGGCCUUUAUGGAGAUCAUCAAGAAAAAGGAUCUUGGAGAAAUAGAAGAGGAGACUACCAGGAUCUAAAUUGUUUACCUUACCAAGUGUCAACUGGAGCACGACCUAAAACUGAUGUAAGUAGCUACAACAUUAUCUGACUCACAGGUUCAGUAACCUCUAAAUUUACUACGUAUCAUUAAAAUUGUCUGUGCAUUUCUUCUAAAUAAUUUGUUCCACACAUACCAAAUGUUUGAUUCUUGCAAAUAUUGCUCUACAUGGAGGAGUUUGGUUUGAAAAGUAGGUUGGACUUCAGGUAAUGAGGCUCCAGGGCUGUGGGGUUUGUCUAAUCUGAUUUUAGGCCACUAAUGAAAACUUCUAUAUCUGAACUAGUCACUUGGGUCGCCUCCAUAGUCAGUGGAAAGAAACAGGCAUUUCUAAAGCAUAAUUCAUCUUGGGGUAACAUGUGGUGAAUUGCAGGCAUCAGAGCCACUACCAGCGUUUUUAUUCAUGGCUUAUUUUAGAAGAACUCUCUUAGGAUUUUUUAGCUUGGCAGUCGGCUAUGCCCAAUUCAUGGUGAACUCCACACUGCAUUCUCUGCAAGCCUGAGUGCUCAGCUCUGGAGUUCUAGUUAAAUCUUAUUUCUAACCAAUAAUAGCAAUAUUUACUAGGUUGUUUUUGGGUUGUUUUUUUUUUAAUGAGGUCAUGGCUGCAGCCUGAAUAAAAGUCCAUCAAAAUCCAUCAGAAUGUUUUCUCAAAAGGCUUUGAUUUACUUUUCCAAUAGCUAAAUGUAAGCUACUUUAGAAUCAGUGUCUGCAUUUGGAAAUGUAGAUGGUUUCUGUCUCCCUGUUUAAAAUUACUUGUGUGCCAGCAGUACUUGUGAUCAUCAUACAACAUAAAAAGUGGCUGCACUGGAUUGAACCAAAAGUACUUAUUGCCCUGUAUCCUUUUUUGGCAGUGGCCAGUGUUGGAUGUUCAGGAAAGAAGUGUAAGGACGUAGUAAGCAGAUAGUAAGCCACCUCAACUUCCUUUGAGGUAUUUAUCAUGCAGACAGAUUGAAGACAGACACUAUAUUGCUUUUUUGUAAUUAACAGCCCCUAAAAGUCUUUUUUUUACUCUAAAUGU